CACGCAUGACACACUGCAUAUCAAUAAGCGGAGGAAAAGAAACUAACAAGGAUUCCCUUAGUAACGGCGAGUGAAGCGGGAAGAGCUCAAAUUUGAAAUCUUCAAGGUUCUACCUUGACGAAUUGUAGUUUAAAGAAGUGUUUUCUGUUAGUGGAGUGGCAAAAGUUCUUUGGAAUAGGACAUCAUAGAGGGUGAGAAUCCCGUAUUUGGUCAUUCUUUCUAGCUUUGUGAUACACUUUCAACGAGUCGGAUUGUUUGGGAAUGCAGUCCAAAAUGGGUGGUAAAUUUCAUCUAAAGCUAAAUAUUGGCGAGAGACCGAUAGCGAACAAGUACCGUGAGGGAAAGAUGAAAAGAACUUUGAAAAGAGAGUUAAACAGUACGUGAAAUUGUCAAAAGGGAAGCGUUUGACACCAGUGUUGUUUUUCCGAAAAUCAAUUACGAAUGUUUUGUUUUUGAGAAGUUAUGACUUCAUCGGCUUGCUUCUCUCUUUACGAAACUUUCUUAAUGCACUUUUCGGUUAACAAGUCAACAUCAAUUUCUUUUGUUGUAAAAGGGUAUGAGGAAGGUGGCUUUCUUUUCGGAGAAAGUGUUUAUAGCCUUGUACCUCUGCAAUCGGAGAGAUUGAGGUCUGCAGCGUAGAUCCUUCGGGGUUAGAUACAUUUGUGCUAAGUUAUAGCUUUUCAUAGACAACUUGUUGACUACUGUUAAGUCUUGUAGCUUACUCGCUUAUGCUAUUUUACCUACGCUUAGGAUGUUGAAGAUGUAGCACAUCAU
rnacentral:rRNA from 1 species